ensembl:lncRNA
GAAAUGGACUUGGGGGUAUUGAGUGACACUAGACUGAACAUGAGCCAGCAGUGUGCCCAGGUGGCCAAGAAGGUCAAUGGCAUCCUGGCUUGUAUCAGAAAUAGUGUGGCCAGCAGGAACAGGGAAGUAAUUAUCCCCCUGUACUCAGCACUGGUGAAGCUGCACCUUGAGUACUGUGUCCAGUUUUGGGCCCCUCACUGUAAGAAAGACAUCGAGGCCCUGGAGCGUGUCCAGAGGAGGGCAACAAAGCUGGUGAGGGGUCUGGAGCACAGGCCUUAUGAAGAGUGGCUGACGGAGCUGGGAUUGUUCAGUCUAGAGAAGAGGAGGCUCAGGGGAGACCUUAUUGCUCUCUAUAACUACCUGAAGGGAGGUUGUAGUGAGCUGGGGGUCAGCCUCUUCUCUUGUGUGACUAGUGAUAGGACUAGAGGGAAUGGCUUCAAGCUGCGCCAGGGAAGAUUCAGGCUGGACAUUAGGAAAUACUACUUCCCUGAGAGGGUGGUCAGGCACUGGAAUGGGCUGCCCAGAGGUGGUGGAGUCACCGAGCCUGGUGGUGUUCAAAGAGCGUUUGGAUGUUGUGUUGAGGGACAUGGUUUAGCGAGAACCAUUGGUGAAGGGCAAAUGGUUGGACUGGAUGAUCCUGUGGGUCUUUUCCAACCUUAGCGAUUCUAUGAUUCUAUGAACCAGCAGGGAAGAUCAGUGUGGAUGAACAGAGAGCUUUUUCUGAGUCUCCAGGAGAAAAAAGAAUCUACCUCCUGUGGAAGAAGGGAUGAGCAACCUGGGGAGGAUACAAAGAAAUCGUUAGGAUGUGCAGGGAGAAAAUUAGAAAGGCAAAAGCCCAGGUUGAACUCAAAUUGGCUAUUGAGAUAAAAGAGAAGAAAAGGCUUUUUUACAAAUAUAUUAACAGUAAGAGGACUAAGGAGAAUCUCCAUCCAUUUACUGGAUGCAGCAGAGAACAUGACUACUGCGGAUAAAGAAAAAGGCUGAGGUCCUCAAUGCCUUCUUUAUAUCUGUUUUUAAUGAUCAGACCAGUUAUCCUCGGGGCACUCUACCA